GAUGAAGAACGUAGCGAAAUGCGAUAAGUAGUGUGAAUUGCAGAAUUCAGUGAAUCAUCGAAUCUUUGAACGCACAUUGCGCCCCUUGGUAUUCCAUGGGGCAUGCCUGUUCGAGCGUCAUUUGUACCUUCAAGCUCUGCUUGGUGUUGGGUGUUUGUCUCGCCUCUGCGUGUAGACUCGCCUCAAAACAAUUGGCAGCCGGCGUAUUGAUUUCGGAGCGCAGUACAUCUCGCGCUUUGCACUCAUAACGACGACGUCCAAAAGUACAUUUUUACACUCUUGACCUCGGAUCAGGUAGAUACCCGCUGAACUUAAGCAUAUCAAUAAGCGGAGGA
rnacentral:misc_RNA from 1 species